rnacentral:lncRNA from 1 species
GGCCGGGGACUGUGUCUGAGCAACUCCGGCCCUGAGGGCUCUGGAGCAGGAAAGCUGAGAAGAUGAGGUUGUUCUUGGCAAUAGUAGCAGUGAAAGUUGACUUUCCUUAAUAAUUUACAUUCAUAACGUUUCAGACCAAAAGAGGUCGAGAGAUGUGUAGUCUGACUCCCCAGUGUAACGGAGGAGAAAGAACUGGGGAGUUACUACUGUCUGCCGGCCAGUACAACCUGCACUGUGCUGAUUGCCCUUGGAAAACACUGACUCCUGAAGGAGGAAAUAACCAACUCGGUUCUGCCCAUGAUUUGGGACCCCGAGGAAACCAGAGCCAGCUUGAGCCCAGCUCCUUCCUGGAAGCCGGUUCCUGGUAGCGAUGGGACGGGACACCCAGUGCGCCCUGUGACCCUGUGGCUUUAGAGCCCGCCCACUUCUGCAGGCUGCCAGGGUCAGGCAGCCAGGUAUGUGGACAGGGUAUAGUUACCAGGGUGAGUGCCCAGGAGCAGGGUGCACAUGCCUGAGCAGUGCAGGCCGAGGGCUUGGGGAUAUUGUAUCUUCUGUUUUUUCUGCCAUGGGAAUUUUCUUCCUCCCCAUCUGAAGAUUUCCCCUUUGCUUCUCAAGCUCUCGAGUCUUUGCUUUUAAAGACUCUCAGGACCUUUCCACCCCAAAUUCCGUUGUUAACAGGGCUUCGUCUUGAAGACUUGGACUCAUCGGAGGGAUGCAUUAGAGCUUCACAGAGGAAGGAGACAGGC